rnacentral:rRNA from 1 species
CAAAUUUGAAAUCUGGCUCCUUUGGGGUCCGAGUUGUAAUUUGUAGAGGAUGCUUCGGGUGCGGCACCGGUCUAAGUCCCUUGGAACAGGGCGUCAUAGAGGGUGAGGAUCCCGUAUGUGACCGGCGACCAAGCCCAUGUGAAGCUCCUUCGACGAGUCGAGUUGUUUGGGAAUGCAGCUCAAAAUGGGUGGUAAAUUUCAUCUAAAGCUAAAUACCGGCCAGAGACCGAUAGCGCACAAGUAGAGUGAUCGAAAGAUGAAAAGCACUUUGGAAAGAGAGUCAAAAAGUACGUGAAAUUGUUGAAAGGGAAGCGCUUGUAACCAGACCUGCCGUCGGGUGCUCCGCGGGCAUUCUUGCCCGUUUACUCACCCGCGAUCAGGCCAGCAUCGGUUUUGGCGGCCGGAUAAAGACUCGAGGAAUGUAGCUUCGCUUCGGGGAAGUGUUAUAGCCUCCUGUGCAAUACGGCCAGCCGGGACCGAGGACCGCGCUUCGGCUAGGAUGCUGGCGUAAUGGUUGCAAGCGACCCGUCUUGAAACACGGACCAAGGAGUCUAACAUCUAUGCGAGUGUUUGGGUGUCAAACCCAUGCGCGGAAUGAAAGUGAACGGAGGUGGGAACCCUUAAGGGCGCACCAUCGACCGAUCCGGAAGUUUACGGAUGGAUUUGAGUAUGAGCAUAGCUGUUGGGACCCGAAAGAUGGUGAACUAUGCCUGAAUAGGGUGAAGCCAGAGGAAACUCUGGUGGAGGCUCGCAGCGGUUCUGACGUGCAAAUCGAUCGUCAAAUUUGGGUAUAGGGGCGAAAGACUAAUCGAACCAUCUAGUAGCUGGUUCCUGCCGAAGUUUCGUAAGUUCUUCCGAGGACCCACCCCCUAACGAACUCUUGCUAACAAUCUCAAUAGCCUCAGGAUAGCAGUAACGUUUUCAGUUUUAUGAGGUAAAGCGAAUGAUUAGAGGCCUGGGGGAUGAAACAUCCUUCACCUAUUCUCAAACUUUCAAUAUGUAAGAAGUCCUUGUUACUUAGUUGAACGUGGACAUUUGAAUGCACCGUUACUAGUGGGCCAUUUUUGGUAAGCAGAACUGGCGAUGCGGGAUGAACCGAACGUGGGGUUAAGGUGCCGGAAUGUACGCUCAUCAGACACCAAGGGGAAUACUUGUGGUGUCUUGCCGGGGGAUGGACCCCCGGCAUCAGUCUGCGAAAGGCGAGGUCUUUGACCUGUAGGGGUCGGCGGUCGCUCCGGCGAUGGCCUACCCUCUGCUGUCCCUUGACCCGGGCAGCUCACAGAUCAAGCAAAGGCCGGCGGCAGAGUGCCGUUGGAGAUAUGAUCGGCCCCCGAAGG